rnacentral:rRNA from 1 species
AUUGAACGCUGGCGGAAUGCUUUACACAUGCAAGUCGAACGGCAGCACGGACUUCGGUCUGGUGGCGAGUGGCGAACGGGUGAGUAAUAUAUCGGAACGUGCCCAGUCGUGGGGGAUAACGUAGCGAAAGUUACGCUAAUACCGCAUACGAUCUAAGGAUGAAAGCGGGGGAUCGCAAGACCUCGCGCGAUUGGAGCGGCCGAUAUCAGAUUAGGUAGUUGGUGGGGUAAAGGCUCACCAAGCCAACGAUCUGUAGCUGGUCUGAGAGGACGACCAGCCACACUGGAACUGAGACACGGUCCAGACUCCUACGGGAGGCAGCAGUGGGGAAUUUUGGACAAUGGACGCAAGUCUGAUCCAGCCAUUCCGCGUGCAGGAUGAAGGCCCUCGGGUUGUAAACUGCUUUUGUACAGAACGAAAAGGUUUCUACUAAUACUAGGAGCUCAUGACGGUACUGUAAGAAUAAGCACCGGCUAACUACGUGCCAGCAGCCGCCGUAA